UACGUAGGGUGCAAGCGUUGUCCGGAAUUAUUGGGCGUAAAGAGCUCGUAGGCGGUCUGUCGCGUCGGCUGUGAAAACCCGGGGCUCAACCCCGGGCCUGCAGUCGAUACGGGCAGACUAGAGUGCGGUAGGGGAGACUGGAAUUCCUGGUGUAGCGGUGAAGUGCGCAGAUAUCAGGAGGAACACCGGUGGCGAAGGCGGGUCUCUGGGCCGAUACUGACGCUGAGGAGCGAAAGCGUGGGGAGCGAACAGG
rnacentral:rRNA from 1 species